rnacentral:rRNA from 1 species
UGGGGAAUAUUGGACAAUGGGCGCAAGCCUGAUCCAGCAAUGCCGCGUGUGUGAAGAAGGCCUUCGGGCUGUAAAGCACUUUUAUCAGGAGCGAAACGCUGUCGGCUAAUACCCGGCGGAACUGACGGUACCUGAGGAAUAAGCACCGGCUAACUUCGUGCCAGCAGCCGCGGUAAUACGAAGGGUGCAAGCGUUAAUCGGAAUUACUGGGCGUAAAGCGUGCGUAGGCGGUUUCUUAAGUCUGCUGUGAAAUCCCCGGGCUCAACCUGGGAAUGGCAGUGGAUACUGGGAGGCUAGAGUGUGUCAGAGGGUGGUGGAAUUCCCGGUGUAGCGGUGAAAUGCGUAGAGAUCGGGAAGAACAUCAGUGGCGAAGGCGGCCACCUGGGACAACACUGACGCUGAGGCACGAAAGCGUGGGGAGCAAACAGGAUUAGGAUACCCUGGUAGUCCACGCCCUAAAGCGAUGCGAACUGGAUGUUGGUCUCAACUCGGAGAUCAGUGUCGAAGCUAACGCGUUAAGUUCGCCGCCUGGGGAGUACGGUCGCAAGACU